rnacentral:rRNA from 1 species
CCUACGGGCGGCAGCAGUGGGGAAUAUUGGACAAUGGGGGGAACCCUGAUCCAGCCAUGCCGCGUGUGUGAAGAAGGCCCUCGGGUUGUAAAGCACUUUCAGUGAGGAAGAACGCCUGGUGGUUAAUACCCAUCAGGAAAGACAUCACUCACAGAAGACGCACCGGCUAACUCCGUGCCAGCAGCCGCGGUAAUACGGAGGGUGCGAGCGUUAAUCGGAAUUACUGGGCGUAAAGCGCGCGUAGGUGGCUUGAUAAGCCGGUUGUGAAAGCCCCGGGCUCAACCUGGGAACGGCAUCCGGAACUGUCAAGCUAGAGUGCGGGAGAGGAAGGUAGAAUUCCCGGUGUAGCGGUGAAAUGCGUAGAGAUAGGGAGGAAUACCAGUGGCGAAGGCGGCCUUCUGGACUGACACUGACACUGAGGUGCGAAAGCGUGGGUAGCAAACAGGAUUAGAUACCCCUGUAGUC